rnacentral:rRNA from 1 species
UGCUAUACUGCAGUCGAGCGGAAGAAGGGAGCUUGCUCCCGGAUGUUAGCGGCGGACGGGUGAGUAACACGUGGGUAACCUGCCUGUAAGACUGGGAUAACUCCGGGAAACCGGAGCUAAUACCGGAUAGUUCCUUGAACCGCAUGGUUCAAGGAUGAAAGACGGUUUCGGCUGUCACUUACAGAUGGACCCGCGGCGCAUUAGCUAGUUGGUGGGGUAAUGGCUCACCAAGGCGACGAUGCGUAGCCGACCUGAGAGGGUGAUCGGCCACACUGGGACUGAGACACGGCCCAGACUCCUACGGGAGGCAGCAGUAGGGAAUCUUCCGCAAUGGACGAAAGUCUGACGGAGCAACGCCGCGUGAGUGAUGAAGGUUUUCGGAUCGUAAAGCUCUGUUGUUAGGGAAGAACAAGUGCGAGAGUAACUGCUCGCACCUUGACGGUACCUAACCAGAAAGCCACGGCUAACUACGUGCCAGCAGCCGCGGUAAUACGUAGGUGGCAAGCGUUGUCCGGAAUUAUUGGGCGUAAAGGGCUCGCAGGCGGUUUCUUAAGUCUGAUGUGAAAGCCCCCGGCUCAACCGGGGAGGGUCAUUGGAAACUGGGAAACUUGAGUGCAGAAGAGGAGAGUGGAAUUCCACGUGUAGCGGUGAAAUGCGUAGAGAUGUGGAGGAACACCAGUGGCCAAGGCGACUCUCUGGCCUGUAACUGACGCUGAAGAGCGAAAGCGUGGGGGAGCGAACAGGAUUNGAUACCCUGGUAGUCCACCCCGUAAACGAUGAGUGGUUAA